AACGAACGCUGGCGGCAUGCCUAACACAUGCCAGUCGAACGAUUGCCUUCGGGUGAUAGUGGCGCACGGGUGCGUAACGCGUGGGAAUCUGCCCUUAGGUUCGGAAUAACAGCUGGAAACGGCUGCUAAUACCGGAUGAUAUCGCGAGAUCAAAGAUUUAUCGCCUGAGGAUGAGCCCGCGUUGGAUUAGGUAGUUGGUGGGGUAAAGGCCUACCAAGCCGACGAUCCAUAGCUGGUCUGAGAGGAUGAUCAGCCACACUGGGACUGAGACACGGUCCAGACUCCUACGGGAGGCAGCAGUGGGGAAUAUUGGACAAUGGGCGCAAGCCUGAUCCAGCAAUGCCGCGUGAGUGAUGAAGGCCCUAGGGUUGUAAAGCUCUUUUACCCGGGAAGAUAAUGACUGUACCGGGAGAAUAAGCCCCGGCUAACUCCGUG
rnacentral:rRNA from 1 species